CUAAUCACUAAUAUUUUUGGUUUCUCUGCUCAGUAUAGUCGAGAAGCUGAAAGAUACACCAACAUGCGGUUUCUGUUGACCAUUGUUCUUUUGGUGGCUGUAGUCAUGGUUGCUGUCGACGCGCACAGUAGAGCUCGUCAUCGUCGUUACAGUCGAAACCAUAGAAUCGUGCGGAAACCAUCAGUCGUAUUCCAGAACAAGAGAACAUGGUUGAAGAACAUACCCUGCCAUAGUGUAAAGAGGUCAGGUCUCUGUGAGAGAUGCUGUGAGAAAAACCAUGUAUUCCAUCAUAAGAGACGAUAUCUGAAGAACUUAAAAUGUAGUAUUUUAAAGACAUCAGGCCUUUGUAAUAGAUGCUGUGAUCCGUGUUACAAAGUAGAGUGUUGUGCACCUCUAACAUGUGCAGGGGGUGUCUGUAAAUGCAACGGUAACGUGUGUAAAAAGGAUCAAAUCUGCAUUGGAACUGGCGUUGAUGCCUGCUGUGUCGAUAAUCCUGUUGCAUCUACAACAAAAACAACACCCCUAACGGCUGUUCCGACAUCCCCAACGGAUACAGGUGCUUCCCCGACGGUUGCAGGGACUACGACAGGGUCCCCAACGGCUGCAGGACCUCCCCCAUCGGUUCCAGGGACUUCCCCGACGGUUGCAGGGAAUACGACAGGGUCCCCAACGGCUGCAGGACCUCCCCCAACGCCUGCAACCUAGGGACUUCCCCAACGGCUGAAGGGACUUCCUCAACGGCUGCAGAAUAGUUUGCAUUAUUUUUGAAGCAUUUUGAUUACAGUAUUUACAAAUUAAAUACCGCAAAUAUUGUUUUUUAAGAAGAAAAGAAUAUAUAAUAAAUAAAGUUCACAUCUUG